UGGGGAAUAUUGGACAAUGGGCGCAAGCCUGAUCCAGCCAUGCCGCGUGUGUGAAGAAGGCCUUUUGGUUGUAAAGCACUUUAAGCGAGGAGGAGGCUACCUGUAUUAAUACUAUAGGAUAGUGGACGUUACUCGCAGAAUAAGCACCGGCUAACUCUGUGCCAGCAGCCGCGGUAAUACAGAGGGUGCGAGCGUUAAUCGGAAUUACUGGGCGUAAAGCGCGCGUAGGCGGUUUGUUAAGUCGGAUGUGAAAUCCCCGGGCUCAACCUGGGAAUUGCAUUCGAUACUGGCAAGCUAGAGUAUGGGAGAGGAAGGUAGAAUUCCAGGUGUAGCGGUGAAAUGCGUAGAGAUCUGGAGGAAUACCGAUGGCGAAGGCAGCCUUCUGGCCUAAUACUGACGCUGAGGUGCGAAAGCAUGGGGAGCAAACA
rnacentral:rRNA from 1 species